GGCGGUGGAGUCGCGCGUUACCCAGGAGGAAAUUAAGAAGGAGCCGGAGAAACCGAUCGACCGCGAGAAGACAUGCCCACUGUUGCUACGGGUCUUCACCACCAAUAACGGCCGCCACCACCGAAUGGACGAGUUCUCCCGGGGAAAUGUACCGUCCAGCGAGUUGCAGAUCUACACUUGGUGAGGAGGGCAGGGUGGCCUCAGGGACCCGGGCCGGGAACCUGGAACAACAGUUAAUUGCCUUUGCCAGUGUAGAGUUAUUCUCCUUGAUUUCAAUUUCAUUUCUCCACUUGAGGCCUUCGGACUCAGCUUUCAGGAAGUUAGAAGUUUUUGUUGUUAGGUGAAAGGAGAUUUGCCCGUAUUGUAACGCUUUUGUGAUUAAUGUUGCAGCUUUUGGGCAGUUUAGAAUGGACAGACCCAAGAUUGCUAUCACUGUUAUGACAGCUAGGUACAAAAGUGAUAGGUAGAUAAUUAAGUUGUAGUAUCCGCCCUAAAGGGACUCAUAGUCAAAUAAAUUGCACUAGGACAACAUGGUAAGGGAGAGUGAUGCUGUCGAGUGGUAUUUGUUAUUCUCAAAGAGCAUUUCCACGUAAUAUUAAGCCGUAGGUACCAAAGCACCAAAAGUGAAAAAUAAACUACCAAAACCCGGGUUAUUUCUUCUCGAAGGGUUAAUGGAAAAGCUUUUGAUAUGUGUUUAGUGAAGAUGGUUCCUGAAUGUUUAUCUCUUGGGUGUACCUCUACAAACUACUGCAGGCUUGUCUUUAGCGCUGCACGUAACUCCUGGGAUUGAUACCAUAAUGGC
rnacentral:sRNA from 1 species